rnacentral:rRNA from 1 species
UUUAANUGCUCAAUUUCACAAACAUUAUCUUAAUCCUCCAUCUUUAUUGAGUAAUUCUAUAAUUUUAUAGAAAAUUUUAUGUUAAAACUAGUAACAAGAAGAAGACCUUCUCUUUAAUGUAAGUGUCAAUCAGAAAGGACAAACCACUGAUAUUUAACAUCACUGAACCAAAAACAGUAACUCAUCAAGAAAAUCCUGUUUUUAUUUAUGUUAACCUAACACAAGAGCAUUCUAAGAAAGAUUAAAAGAAAAAGAAGGAACUCGGCAAAUAUUAACCUCGCCUGUUUACCAAAAACAUCGCCUCUUGAACUUUAUAAGAGGUCCAGCCUGCCCAGUGACUCUGUUCAACGGCCGCGGUAUCCUAACCGUGCGAAGGUAGCGUAAUCACUUGUUCUUUAAAUGCGGACUAGUAUGAAUGGCACUACGAGGGUUAUACUGUCUCCUUUUUCUAAUCAGUGAAACUAAUUUUCCCGUGAAGAAGCGGGAAUAUAACUAUAAGACGAGAAGACCCUAUGGAGCUUUAAACAACCCAGCAAUUACUUCUAAAAUUGUAAAUUUCAGAAUAUUCAUUUCUNUAAGUAAUGUGUCUGCAAGUUUUUGGUUGGGGUGACCAUGGAGAAUAACAUAACCUCCAUAUUGAAUGAAUUCCCUUCUAAGCUGAGAAUUACCAAUUGAAGCAUCAACACACUGACAUCUAUUGACCCAAUAUAUUUGAUCAACGAACCAAGUUACCCUAGGGAUAACAGCGCAAUCCACUUCAAGAGCCCCUAUCGACAAGUGGGUUUACGACCUCGAUGUUGGAUCAGGGUAUCCCAGUGGCGCAGCCGCUACUAAAGG